rfam:Homo sapiens chromosome 11, GRCh38 reference primary assembly.
CAAGAAAUUCAUAGAGGUUAUGGGAUUGGCUAGAAACCAGUUUCAGGAGGUUCGAUUCCUUCCUUUUUGG